UGGCGCCCUUUGUGGCUAAAUGAAAUGAAAUCAUUAGUAAAACAUAAUCAAUAUUCAUAAUAUACACUUUUACUGUCUUGCCUGCUGAAGAGGCGUUAGAAAUUUAUGCUUUUUUUAACUAUACUAAGAAGUUUUGAGUUGAUGUUGUUUUCAAUAUUGAAAAAUAGGGAAAAAUUCUGAAGAAGUAUAAAAAAACGGAUACCUAAUUCCUCUACAAAAAUGAAAAGAUAUAAAAAGAAAAAUGGUCUGAUCUAGUAGAAAGUAUAUUUCCAAGGAGGAAUCACUUCUAAAAUCUCCAUUCGUUUUACGAAGACAAAAAUGUUUCAAUGGAAGUUUAAGAAGGAAAAAAGGAAUUUUCAUGUCAAAUUGAUCCAAGUGAUUUGGAAGAUGAUAUCUUUUUAUUUUCAUCAGUAAUUUAAUGGACUAUGGUGCCAAGGGAAUGUAUGAUGGGAUAACUUAUACUGCCAUAGGAUAAAUAAAUGAUAUGUAAAAUCAAUGCAGUAUUUGAUAAUAAUAAUAAUUUAUUUGCACACAAGAAAUUCAUAAAAACAUACGCCAUCAAAAGUUUACAUGGCUUGUCAAUCAAAAAAUCUUAAACUAUAAAUGAGUAGUAUUGAAAGUCAUUGUAAUGAAAACAUGAAUAUGUUUGUAGUUACAAAUUAUCAAAUAAUAUUUACAAAAAUGAUUCCUAAAUAAAUCACUCAACCUGUAAA